rnacentral:pre_miRNA from 1 species
UAUUCUUCACUCUGUUCCGCAGAGCCACGACGGCUGUGCGGAACAGUGGCUGUGCGGAACAGAGUGAAGAGUA